rfam:Solanum lycopersicum cultivar Heinz 1706 chromosome 7, whole genome shotgun sequence.
AUCCUUUCAAGGAGAUCUGAUAAAAUUUGAACGAUAUGAAAAAGAUUGUGAUGACCCAUGUGUAAGGAUGACAUGGAUAACUCGAGAAAUGUUCCAAAUUUUU